rnacentral:rRNA from 1 species
CCUACGUGAGGCUGCAGUGAGGAAUAUUGGUCAAUGGACGAGAGUCUGAACCAGCCAAGUAGCGUGAAGGAUGACUGCCCUAUGGGUUGUAAACUUCUUUUAUAAAGGAAUAAAACGAGGCACGUGUGCCUUUUUGCAUGUACUUUAUGAAUAAGGAUCGGCUAACUCCGUGACAGAAGCCGCGGUAAUACGGAGGAUCCGAGCGUUAUCCGGAUUUAUUGGGUUUAAAGGGAGCGUAGAUGGGUUGUUAAGUCAGUUGUGAAAGUUUGCGGCUCAACCGUAAAAUUGCAAUUGAUACUGGCAGUCUUGAGUACAGUUGAGGUAGGCGGAAUUCGUGGUGUAGCGGUGAAAUGCUUAGAUAUCACGAAGAACCCCGAUUGCGAAGGCAGCUUACUAAACUGUGACUGACAUUGAUGCUCGAAAGUGUGGGUAUCAAACAGGAUUAGAUACCCUUGUAGUC